AGCGAACGCUGGCGGCAGGCCUAACACAUGCAAGUCGAACGAAGUCUUCGGACUUAGUGGCGGACGGGUGAGUAACACGUGGGAACGUACCUUUUGGUUCGGAACAACUCAGGGAAACUUGAGCUAAUACCGGAUGAGCCCUUAGGGGGAAAGAUUUAUCACCGAAAGAGCGGCCCGCGUUAGAUUAGCUAGUUGGUGAGGUAAAGGCUCACCAAGGCUACGAUCUAUAGCUGGUCUGAGAGGAUGAUCAGCCACACUGGGACUGAGACACGGCCCAGACUCCUACGGGAGGCAGCAGUGGGGAAUCUUGCGCAAUGGGCGAAAGCCUGACGCAGCCAUGCCGCGUGAAUGAUGAAGGUCUUAGGAUUGUAAAAUUCUUUUACCAGGGACGAUAAUGACGGUACCUGGAGGAAAAGCCCCGGCUAACUUCGUGCCAGCAGCCGCGGUAACAC
rnacentral:rRNA from 1 species